AUGUGAUCUACUGAUGAGUGGUUACUUAAUUAUAAAACUAAUUUGAUGAAACAGCAAAGACCAUAUUGAAAGUGGGCUAUCAUUCCACUUUCAUAUCUAUUAACAAUGAAGAUACAAGAAACAAAAAAUUCAACAAAAUCAAGCAAUAGGUACAACCACCUUCCAACUAGUAACUAAUCCUUAAUAUAUAUUUUUAUAUGACCAAGAUUCCCAGAUGAAAUUAUUAAGAAAGAGGCUUGUUUUGCUUUUUCUAAAUCAUGGUUGUCAAAACAUGGCCAGCUCAGGUAUCUUUUCCAUAUCAUCUGGUUUUCCAUUGAAAAACCUUGGCCAAGUUCUGUAAUUGUUCCAUGCCUCCUGUGCUUGCAAAUGCCUGGGAGAGCUUUUGUUUUGAUAUUCUUCUUCUGGGCUCUGCUUACUAUUGUCACUCCUACCCUUAUUAUCUUGUCUGCAUCUGCAAAGCCCAGUUUGGAUCUCAAAGGUGAACGAAGCGGUAGAAUGAUCAGGGCGAGGAGAAUGAUGGGCUAUUCAAGAACAAAAUUGGAAGCUCCGGCACCAGCACCGGAGCCUGCACCGGCACAUAGGAGGACCGGCUUUAUGAUAUAAGUAGCACAUCUGAAGUCUGAACACUUGGACAGAGGUUUUCAUGGGCAUGAAAGAGCAAUGAGAAGGGAUGUUGCAGAGGCAAGACUGUAAAUAGAUUUUUUUUUUUUAUAAAUUUGGGGAGGAUGGUAUAUGUUUAACGGCUUCAUCUGUAAGACAGAGAGGGAACUCCAUUGAUGAACUUGUUUUCAUCUUUCCAUUAAAACAGAGUGGUAGAUGUUCACCUUGUGUGUGGUUGUCUGGAACAGAGUUCUCUCUCUCUCUCUAGAAUUGGGAAAGAAGAAUGUCAUGGAGUACUACUUUGACGA